UACGUAGGGUGCAGGCGUUAAUCGGAAUUACUGGGCGUAAAGCGCGCGCAGGCGGUUUGCUAAGUGAGAUGUGAAAUCCCCGGGCUUAACCUGGGAACUGCGUUUCUAACUGGCAGGCUUGAGUGUGGCAGAGGGGGGUGGAAUUCCACGUGUAGCAGUGAAAUGCGUAGAGAUGUGGAGGAACACCGAUGGCGAAGGCAGCCCCCUGGGCUAACACUGACGCUCAGGCACGAAAGCGUGGGGAGCAAACAGG
rnacentral:rRNA from 1 species